rnacentral:rRNA from 1 species
AAACGAUUAAAGUCAGUCGUGCCGGCGAGGAAUCAGCUUGCAAGAUAUUGUAGGUGUACUUACUCGCAAGGCAGGUUAGCAUCGGUUUUGGUCGUGUUAAAAUAAUUGUAGGAAUGUGGCUCCUUCGGGAGUGUUAUAGCCUGCUUUAGAUGACAUGAACAAGACUGAGGAUUGCAGCGAAUGCUUUGCUACGGAUCUGGUCUCUGUCAAUGGCUCGCUUGUCUUGAGCUUGCUCAGGCCUAGUUAGCUUAUUUACAACAGGUCAGAAUCCGAUAAAUUCGCUAAGGAUGCUGACGUAAUGGCUUUAAACGA